rnacentral:rRNA from 1 species
UACGUAGGGUGCAAGCGUUAAUCGGAAUUACUGGGCGUAAAGCGUGCGCAGGCGGUUAUGUAAGACAGAUGUGAAAUGCCCGGGCUUAACCUGGGAACUGCAUUUGUGACUGCAUGGCUAGAGUUUGGCAGAGGGGGGUAGAAUUCCACGUGUAGCAGUGAAAAUGCGUAGAUAUGUGGAGGAACACCGAUGGCGAAGGCAGCCCCCUGGGUCAAGACUGACGCUCAUGCA